CCUACGGGAGGCAGCAGUGGGGAAUAUUGCACAAUGGGCGCAAGCCUGAUGCAGCCAUGCCGCGUGUGUGAAGAAGGCCUUCGGGUUGUAAAGCACUUUCAGCGGGGAGGAAGGCGGUGAGGUUAAUAACCUCAUCGAUUGACGUUACCCGCAGAAGAAGCACCGGCUAACUCCGUGCCAGCAGCCGCGGUAAUACGGAGGGUGCAAGCGUUAAUCGGAAUUACUGGGCGUAAAACGCACGCAGGCGGUCUGUCAAGUCGGAUGUGAAAUCCCCGGGCUCAACCUGGGAACUGCAUUCGAAACUGGCAGGCUAGAGUCUUGUAGAGGGGGGUAGAAUUCCAGGUGUAGCGGUGAAAUGCGUAGAGAUCUGGAGGAAUACCGGUGGCGAAGGCGGCCCCCUGGACAAAGACUGACGCUCAGGUGCGAAAGCGUGGGGAGCAAACAGGAUUAGAUACCCUAGUAGUC
rnacentral:rRNA from 1 species